GAUGAACGCUGGCGGCGUGCCUAAUACAUGCAAGUCGAGCGAACAGACGAGGAGCUUGCUCCUCUGACGUUAGCGGCGGACGGGUGAGUAACACGUGGAUAACCUACCUAUAAGACUGGGAUAACUUCGGGAAACCGGAGCUAAUACCGGAUAAUAUAUUGAACCGCAUGGUUCAAUAGUGAAAGACGGUUUUGCUGUCACUUAUAGAUGGAUCCGCGCCGCAUUAGCUAGUUGGUAAGGUAACGGCUUACCAAGGCAACGAUGCGUAGCCGACCUGAGAGGGUGAUCGGCCACACGGGAACUGAGACACGGUACAGACUCCUACGGGAGGCAGCAGUAGGGAAUAUUCCGCAAUGGGCGAAAGCAUGACGGAGCAACGCCGCGUGAGUGAUGAAGGUCUUCGGAUCGUAAAACUCUGUUAUUAGGGAAGAACAAAUGUGUAAGUAAAUAUGCACGUCUUGACGGUAACUAAUCAGAAAGCAACGGCUAACUACGUG
rnacentral:rRNA from 1 species